UGAUCAAAUCACGCUGAAACACCGGUUCUCGUUCGAUCCCCGAAGUUAAGCAUCGUAGAGCCAGGUCAGUACUUAGAUGGGGGACCGCUUGGGAACACCUGGUACUGUAAG
rnacentral:rRNA from 1 species